rnacentral:lncRNA from 1 species
GGAUAAGGGGUAGGACGAUCGAUUGUUUUUGCUUAUGUUCUUAAUGCAUUACUAAUUGCUAGGGGAGGCUAGGGAUAGGAAGCCGGUAAUUAGUAAUAGGCUCUUUUCGCCAAAGGAUCGGGUUAAGGAUAGACCAAGAAAGUUUGCAUAACAAUUAGAUAAUCAAGCACAUUAAAUAAGAGGAGUAGAUAAGAGGGAGUGAAUAAGAUGAAAUUGUCAACCCGCAACAACUCCAUUCAUCCAUAGUCUUUUUCAUCAAUUGAAUCAACCACAUUGCAUGUUUAUUUUCUGUCUUUGCAUCCACAACAAUUAAUCUUUUUCUACAAGUCUUACGAUUUUGAUUCACACGAACGAUCCUUGUGAGUCUCUUGGGAAGAACGAUAUCGGGCAUUAUCGAUUAUAUUACUUGCACGAUCUGGUACACUUCCUAGUGAGUCAAGAUGUUUUUGGCAUCGUUGUCAGGGGCUCGAGGUUAUUUUAAGUAGUGUGAAUUGAUUGAAUUGAUGAUCAUGCAAGUAAUAUAAUUGAAAGGCAUUUAUCGUUCGUGUGAAUCAAAAUCGUAAGACUUCUAAAGAAAUAAUUAAUUGUUGUGAAUGCAAAGACAGAAAAUAAACAUGCAAUGUGGUUGAUUCAAAUAACGAAAAAGACUAUGGACGAAUGGAGUUGUUGGGGGUUGACAAUUUCAUCUUAUUCACUCCCUCUUAUCUACUCUUAUUGUUUAAUGUCCUUGAUUAUCUAAUUGUUAUGCAAACUUUCUUGGCCUACCCUUAACCCGAUCCCUGGCGAAAAGAGCCUAUUACUAAUUACCGGCUUGCUAUCCCUAGCCUCCCCUAGCAAUUAAUAAUGCAUUAAGAACAGAUGCAAAAACAAUUGAUCGUCCUACCCCCUAUCCCUAGGUUGGUAAUGCUUAAUCAAGGAAUUUCUCACCAGUUCAUGACAGUACUGUACGUUCCCCUAUCAAUAGAGACAAACAAUAGUUAUCGAAUGACUUAAACGAUAAAAGCUCUAAGCACAGAUGAGAACCCAACAAUUGAUAAUCAAAGCAUAUGAAGAAUCAUAUAAAUAAACAAGAGUUUCAAUAAAAGAUAGUUUCAAAAGAUUACAUUGUUUCCCCCAACAACAAAAGGGUUUAGUUAAGCAUUGUCAUGGUGAACCUAGAUGAAAAUAAUGGAAGAAUGGAAGAGCAAACCCUAUAUAGGACGAAAAGGAGCCUAAGCAUCCAAGAGAUCUUCUCCAAGGAGUGAAGAUUAGGUCUGGCCGCCCUCUUCUGUCAAAAGAAUGAGAAUGAAAUCGCAACAGGGCUAUUUAUAGCUGAGGAGCGUUGAUGGGUAUCGCGGCCCAUACAAAUUUGAUUGCAAUUUAGAAAUGCAGUAUAAUGCUAGGGAAUGACCCCUAGGUCGUCUCCCAAAGACCAAUUUUGCGGUUCGCGAAUCGAGUCUAACACGAAAGGGGGGGUGUUUGAAAAGGUUUUUGCAAUUAUUAAAGAACUCAAUAAAGACACAUAAGCAAACAAACUAAAUUAAGCAUAUCAUAGUAAUUAAAGUAACACUACUACAAAUACAAUUAUCUAGACCCCAACAAUGCAACAAACAAUUAUCUAGCACAAUUAAAAUUAUUAAAAUAUAACUCAAGAGCCAAAAUUUGAAAUUCACACUGCAAAAAUAAAUCACUAACGCUAAAGGGUGCUAACCAAAUGCUAAAGAACCAAGAGAAAUAAAUUCUCUUCUCCCAAGAUGUGAUUGACAGAGCACCAAAAAUCAAUGACACGUUUUAUUAAUUUCUCUUCCAGCAGCCUCACAAAGCUUCCUCCAAGCAAAAGAUAAAAUACCUCUUUUCCAAAUAUUAGUGACCAUGAUAGGUCCCUGCACAACAACUAAUGGGAUCCGUGCCCAUUCUUUAGUUUCUCAAAUCUUUCUUCAAUGCUUGACGUGGCAGCAGCAGCGCACAACUCCUCCCAAGAAUCAAAACAACGUGUUGGUUCCUCCAAGCUAGGUCGUG